UGACAAGAGAUCACGAUGUUCCAAACCACCAGACGACAAAAUACUGUGGGAAUAAUGAUGAUGACAGGUGAAGGUGUAAGAACUGUGAUUGUCGGGAAUAGCUCAUUGUCAUCAGAAUGAAAAGAAGGCUUUGCACAAAUCCACACAAAAUCAAUAUUUCAGGCUCUUUUCUUAAAGUCAGAAAAGCUGCAAAUGGCCACAUAUGACUCUAAUGUAGAUCUAUUCCCUGCAAACUUGUUCUGUGGGUUAGUCAUCUGGAGUAAGCUUUCAGUCUCUCACGUUUGUUGCGGCAGUCCUAAGUAAAGUGGUGCCUUUUAGAAACCACCUCUUUCAUACAGCAUGCUCAUGUUGUGCUUUUCUUUGCUAUUGAUCAUCACACCAAUGUGAACAUAUGUGAAUGUCUUGGUGGACUCAGCUUUGAAAAAACAUUUACUUGAAAUUCCUGUUUUGAAAAGAGAAUCUCUCUUCUAAGAUGUGUUCACAAAAUAUAAGAUAUAAUUUCAAACUGUGCCUCCAAACCAUGAAACUCUAAAUCCUUAGCUUGUAUUAAUGUAGCAUUAUUAGAUAUGUGGCUCAUAGUACAGUUAUUGAUGUUAAACACCUUUACAUAUUUACUAAAUGUUUAAUAAACA